rnacentral:rRNA from 1 species
GACGAACGCUGGCGGCGUGCUUAACACAUGCAAGUCGAACGGAAAGGCCCUGCUUUUGUGGGGUGCUCGAGUGGCGAACGGGUGAGUAACACGUGAGUAACCUGCCCUUGACUUUGGGAUAACUUCAGGAAACUGGGGCUAAUACCGGAUAGGAGCUCCUGCUGCAUGGUGUGGGUUGGAAAGUUUCGGCGGUUGGGGAUGGACUCGCGGCUUAUCAGCUUGUUUGUGGGGUAGUGGCUUACCAAGGCUUUGACGGGUAGCCGGCCUGAGAGGGUGGCCGGCCACAAUGGGACUGAGAUACGGACCAGAAUCCUACGGGAGGCAGCAGGGGGGAAUAUUGCACAAUGGGCGGAAGCCUGAUACAGCAACGCCGCGUGCGGGAUGACGGCCUUCGGGUUGUAAACCGCUUUCGCCUGUGACGAAGCGUGAGUGACGGUAAUGGGUAAAGAAGCACCGGCUAACUACGUG